rnacentral:tRNA from 1 species
GUGCCUGUAGCUCAGCGGAUAGAGCAACUGCCUUCUAAGCAGUGGGCCGGGGGUUCAAUUCCCUCCAGGCACG